GGGAACCUAAGUUGAUCUUUCUGAAGAGACUUCGAGGGACCCCGACGGCUCUUAUUGCUCUUAGGAACUUUAUAAAACAAUGGCAUUAACGAAACUUCUUAACAACCGCCCGGACACUCCAUACUUCCGGCCACCCCCACUGCAUUUCAGAAUUUUGAAUUCCUGUGACCAGCAGAAGGUCAUCAGCUGGGACUUUAAAGAUGAGACCGCUAAAGCUCUUACAACAAAAAGAAACAAAGUCAUAGUUAUCACUGAUGGGGAAAGUGUGACCAAGGUCACAAUUUUCGAGGAAUUUGCCUCAAAGGUCCAGCAGGGGGGGUCUUUUAUAAUGAGAGGCUAUGAACUCAGGGGCACAGUGCCCCCUUUCUCCAUUAAUGUUACAAGUCAGACCCAGUUUUUUAGGGCUCCCACACUGAAUGUAAAGGAAGACCUUUACAAACAAGCUGAUGAACUCCUCAAUCCUCCUGCUCCUCUCACGCCUCUGAGGAUGAGUUCAGCCAGGUGCGGCCUCAUCACAGCACAGGGGGAGGUGGUGGAGUUUUCUGCUGUAAAGCAAGUGAAGGUGGGGAAAAAUUAUGUUCCCCUUAAACAUAUCCAGCUGAAGGAGGAUGGCUUUACGAUGACAGUCUGCCUCUGGAGGGAGGCAGCCAUUUGCAACUUCAACGUGGGAGACCACAUCAGCCUCUCCCACUUGAAGCGGAGUCAGUCCUCUUAUGGCAUACAGCUGCAAAGCACGGCACUGACAAAGAUUGAGGCAAAAGUCGAGGAGAGGGCUGACAUCCUUAUCAUUGGCGUGGCCAUAACAGACGUGCCAAACCAGCUGGAGGUGUUGCUGGAGGAUGGAAAGAGCCUAUAUGUUCAUAGUGAGCUGUGGAGUCCCUUUGACAAGGAACUGGAGGAGGCAGCAAUCAAAGUUACAGUUAAAAUAAAGGGAA
ensembl:lncRNA